CCCCGCACAGGUCUUCACAUACUCUCUCUUUUUAAGCUUUGGUAUCAUUGCUAGGCUGACAUUCCACACCUAAUCAAAUUUGAUCACAAAUAUCAUGAUCAUCCAUGGUCAAAUCUCAAAUGGGCAUGUAUUGCAAUGAUCAACUACACUUACCUUGUAUUUGGUUAGGCUCAAAAGAGGAAGGAUGGAUGGUGUUGGAAGGAUAAAUGACUCCCAUUCACUAUUUGGUUUAAAAAGUCUUUCAAAGGA
rnacentral:lncRNA from 1 species